rnacentral:rRNA from 1 species
GACGAACGCUGGCGGCAUGCCUAACACAUGCAAGUCGAACGGACGAUGCCCUUCGGGGCAAAGUUAGUGGCGGACUGGUGAGUAACGCGUGAGCAACCUGCCUUUGAGAGGGGGACAACAGCUGGAAACGGCUGCUAAUACCGCGUGAUGCAGCGAGAUCGCAUGAUCUUGCUGCCAAAGNUUUAUCGCUCAAAGAUUGGGCUCGGCGUCCGAUUAGAUAGUUGGUGAGGUAACGGCUCACCAAGUCAACGAUCGGUAGCCGGACUGAGAGGUCGACCGGCCACAUUGGGACUGAGAUACGGCCCAGACUCCUACGGGAGGCAGCAGUUGGGGAAUAUUCGGGGCAAAUGGGGGGAAACCCUGACCCAGCAACGCCGCG